rnacentral:rRNA from 1 species
UGGGUGGCGAGUGGCGGACGGGUGAGGAAUACAUCGGAAUCUACUUUUUCGUGGGGGAUAACGUAGGGAAACUUACGCUAAUACCGCAUACGACCUACGGGUGAAAGCAGGGGAUCUUCGGACCUUGCGCGAUUGAAUGAGCCGAUGUCGGAUUAGCUAGUUGGCGGGGUAAAGGCCCACCAAGGCGACGAUCCGUAGCUGGUCUGAGAGGAUGAUCAGCCACACUGGAACUGAGACACGGUCCAGACUCCUACGGGAGGCAGCAGUGGGGAAUAUUGGACAAUGGGCGCAAGCCUGAUCCAGCCAUACCGCGUGGGUGAAGAAGGCCCUCGGGUUGUAAAGCCCUUUUGUUGGGAAAGAAAUCCAGCUGGCUAAUACCCGGUUGGGAUGACGGUACCCAAAGAAUAAGCACCGGCUAACUUCGUGCCAGCAGCCGCGGUAAUACGAAGGGUGCAAGCGUUACUCGGAAUUACCGGGCGUAAAGCGUGCGUAGGUGGUCGUUUAAGUCCGUUGUGAAAGCCCUGGGCUCAACCUGGGAACUGCAGUGGAUACUGGACGACUAGAGUGUGGUAGAGGGUAGCGGAAUUCCUGGUGUAGCAGUGAAAUGCGUAGAGAUCAGGAGGAACAUCCAUGGCGAAGGCAGCUAUCUGGACCAACACUGACACUGAGGCACGAAAGCGUGGGGAGCAAACAGGAUUAG